rnacentral:misc_RNA from 1 species
CCGAGUUUACAACUCCCAAACCCCUGUGAACAUACCACUUGUUGCCGUAUCGGCGGAUCAGCCCGCUCCCGGUAAAACGGGACGGCCCGCCAGAGGACCCCUAAACUCUGUUUCUAUAUGUAACUUCUGAGUAAGAACCAUAAAUAAAAUCA